rnacentral:rRNA from 1 species
UAUACGACCGUACCGCAAACCGACACUGGUGCGCGAGAUGAGUAUUCUAAGGCGCUUGAGAGAACUCAGGAGAAGGAACUCGGCAAAUUGACACCGUAACUUCGGAAGAAGGUGUGCCCUAUUAGUGUGUAGUGAACAACGAAGCAUGAAUGGGUUGCAAAAAAUCGGUGGCUGCGACUGUUUAUUAAAAACACAGCACUCUGCAAACACGAAAGUGGACGUAUAGGGUGUGACGCCUGCCCGGUGCUGGAAGAUUAAAUGAUGGGGUGCAAGCUCUUGAUUGAAGUCCCAGUAACGGCGGCCGUAACAAUAACGGUCCUAAGGUAGCGAAAUUCCUUGUCGGGUAAGUUCCGACCUGCACGAAUGGCGUAACGAUGGCCACACUGUCUCCUCCUGAGACUCAGCGAAGUUGAAAUGUUUGUGAUGAUGCAAUCUCCCCGCGGAAAGACGGAAAGACCCCAUGAACCUUUACUGUAGCUUUGUAUUGGACUUUGAACAGAUCUGUGUAGGAUAGGUGGGAGGCUUUGAAGCAGGGUCGCUAGAUCUUGUGGAGCCAACGUUGAAAUACCACCCUGGUGUGUUUGAGGUUCUAACCUAGGUCCAUUAUCUGGAUCGGGGACAGUGCAUGGUAGGCAGUUUGACUGGGGCGGUCUCCUCCCAAAGCGUAACGGAGGAGUUCGAAGGUACGUUAGUUACGGUCGGACAUCGUGACGAUAGUGCAAUGGCAUAAGCGUGCUUAACUGCGAGACUGACAAGUCGAGCAGAUGCGAAAGCAGGACAUAGUGAUCCGGUGGUUCUGUAUGGAAGGGCCAUCGCUCAACGGAUAAAAGGUACUCUGGGGAUAACAGGCUGAUACCGCCCAAGAGUUCAUAUCGACGGCGGUGUUUGGCACCUCGAUGUCGGCUCAUCUCAUCCUGGGGCUGUAGCCGGUCCCAAGGGUAUGGCUGUUCGCCAUUUAAAGAGGUACGUGAGCUGGGUUUAAAACGUCGUGAGACAGUUUGGUCCCUAUCUUCCGUGGGCGCUGCAGAUUUGAGGAAGCCUGCUCCUAGUACGAGAGGACCGGAGUGGACACACCUCUGGUGUAUCGGUUGUCACGCCAGUGGCAUUGCCGAGUAGCUAAGUGUGGAAGAGAUAACCGCUGAAAGCAUCUAAGCGGGAAACUCGUUUCAAGAUGAGAUCUGCCGGGGCCUUGAGCCCCCUAAAGAGUCGUUCAAGACCAGGACGUUGAUAGGUCAGGUGUGGAAGCGAAAAAAAU